GCUUUGCCAACCUGUAGUCAGUAGAGCUGCAUAAGACAGGAUGAAACCGUCACAGUGAUCUGCUGGCUGUCUCUGCAGGUUAUCUGGGUGCAGCAGGAAGCUACCUGGGAGCCGGUCUGGGCGCUGGAGGCUACGGAGCAGGUUUGGGGCAGGGAGCUUACCUGGGAGGGGCAGCCGGAAAACUGGGAGGUUAUGGUGACGGGGUGAACGGAUACCUCGGCGCUGUGGCAGGAAACGGCUUUGGU